rnacentral:rRNA from 1 species
GGAUCAUGAAAGAGGUUUUCUAAACUCCCAAACCCAGGUGAACUUACCUUUUGUUGCCUCGCCAGAAGUUAUAGGUCUUCUUAUAGCUGCUGCCGGUGGACCAUUAAACUCUUGUUAUUUUAUGUAAUCUGAGCGUCUUAUUUUAAUAAGUCAAGACUUUCAACAACGGAUCUCUUGGUUCUGGCAUCGAUGAAGAACGCAGCGAAAUGCGAUAAGUAAUGUGAAUUGCAGAAUUCAGUGAAUCAUCGAAUCUUUGAACGCACAUUGCGCCCANUAGUAUUCUAGUGGGCAUGCCUGUUCGAGCGUCAUUUCAACCCUUAAGCCUAGCUUAGUGUUGGGAAUCUACUUCUCUUAGGAGUUGUAGUUCCUGAAAUACAACGGCGGAUUUGUAGUAUCCUCUGAGCGUAGUAAUUUUUUUCUCGCUUUUGUUAGGUGCUAUAACUCCCAGCCGCUAAACCCCCAAUUUUUUGUGGUUGACCUCGGAUUCAGGUAGGAAUACAGGCGGUAC